rnacentral:rRNA from 1 species
UCGGCAUACUGCUCAGUAACACGUGGAUAACCUGCCCUAUCGUCUGGAAUAACCUCGGGAAACUGAGAACAAGGCCGGAUAGUUCACAAUGCCUGGAACGGUUUGUGAAUCAAGGUAGGAUGGGUCUGCGGCGUAUCAGGUUGUAGGGGGUGUAAAGGACCCCCUAGCCUUCGACGCGUACGGGUGUUGGGAGACAUAGCCCGGAGAUGGAUUCUGAGACACGAAUCCAGACCCUACGGGGUGCAGCAGGCGCGAAAACUUCACACUGCAGGAAACUGUGAUGAGGGAACUCCUAGUGCAUGCACUAUGUGUAUGUAGAUCCUACUCUUAACAAGUAGAGGGAAAGGGCUGGGAAAGACCGGUGCCAGCCGCCGCGGUAAUACCGGCAGCUCAAGUGGUCGUCGCUUUUAUUGGGCCUAAAACGUCCGUAGCCUGUUUGGUAAAUCUGUGGGUAAAUCAAUCCGCUCAACGGAUUGAAUUCUGCAGAGACUGCCAGACUAGGGACCGGGAGAGGUGUGGGGUACUCGAGGGGUAGGGGUAAAAUCCUGUCAUCCUUCGAGGACCACCAGUUGCGAAGGCGCCACACUGGAACGGAUCCGACGGUCAGGGACGAAGCCUAGGGGCACGAACCGGAUUAGAUACCCGGGUAGUCCUAGGUGUAAACGCUGUGAACUUGGUGUCGGGGGUCCGCAAGGGGUCCCCGGUGCCGGAGUGAAGAUGUUAAGUUCACUGCCUGGGGAGUACGGUCGCAAGGCUGAAACUUAAAGGAAUUGGCGGGGGAGCACUGCAACGGGAGGAGCGUGCGGUUUAAUU